AACGAACGCUGGCGGCAGGCUUAACACAUGCAAGUCGAACGCCCCGCAAGGGGAGUGGCAGACGGGUGAGUAACGCGUGGGAACAUACCCUUUUCUACGGAAUAGCUCUGGGAAACUGGAAUUAAUACCGUAUACGCCCUCCGGGGGAAAGAUUUAUCGGGGAAGGAUUGGCCCGCGUUGGAUUAGCUAGUUGGUGGGGUAAAGGCCUACCAAGGCGACGAUCCAUAGCUGGUCUGAGAGGAUGAUCAGCCACAUUGGGACUGAGACACGGCCCAAACUCCUACGGGAGGCAGCAGUGGGGAAUAUUGGACAAUGGGCGCAAGCCUGAUCCAGCCAUGCCGCGUGAGUGAUGAAGGCCUUAGGGUUGUAAAGCUCUUUCACCGAUGAAGAUAAUGACGGUAGUCGGAGAAGAAGCCCCGGCUAACUUCGUG
rnacentral:rRNA from 1 species